AGUGAACGCUGGCGGUAGGCCUAACACAUGCAAGUCGAACGGCAGCACAGUAAGAGCUUGCUCUUACGGGUGGCGAGUGGCGGACGGGUGCGGAAUACAUCGGAAUCUACUUUUUCGUGGGGGCUAACGUAGGGAAACUUACGCUAAUACCGCAUACGACCUACGGGUGAAAGCAGGGGAUCUUCGGACCUUGCGCGAUUGAAUGACCCGAUGUCGGAUUAGCUAGUUGGCGGGGUAAAGGCCCACCAAGGCGACGAUCCGUAGCUGGUCUGAGAGGAUGAUCAGCCACACUGGAACUGAGACACGGUCCAGACUCCUACGGGAGGCAGCAGUGGGGAAUAUUGGACAAUGGGCGCAAGCCUGAUCCAGCCAUACCGCGUGGGUGAAGAAGGCCUUCGGGUUGUAAAGCCCUUUUGUUGGGAAAGAAAAGCAGCAGGUUAAUACCCCGCUGUUCUGACGGUACCCAAAGAAUAAGCACCGGCUAACUUCGUG
rnacentral:rRNA from 1 species